rnacentral:rRNA from 1 species
GACGAACGCUGGCGGCGUGCUUAACACAUGCAAGUCGAACGGAAAGGCCCUGCUUUUGUGGGGUGCUCGAGUGGCGAACGGGUGAGUAACACGUGAGUAACCUGCCCUUGACUUUGGGAUAACUUCAGGAAACUGGGGCUAAUACCGGAUAGGAGCUCCUGCUGCAUGGUGGGGGUUGGAAAGUUUCGGCGGUUGGGGAUGGACUCGCGGCUUAUCAGCUUGUUGGUGGGGUAGUGGCUUACCAAGGCUUUGACGGGUAGCCGGCCUGAGAGGGUGACCGGCCACAUUGGGACUAAGAUACGGCCCAGACUCCUACGGGAGGGAGCAGUGGAGAAUAUUGCACAAUGGGCGGAAGCCUGAUGCAGCAACGCCGCGUGCGGGAUGACGGCCUUCGGGUUGUAAACCGCUUUCGCCUGUGACGAUGCGUGAGUGACGGUAAUGGGUAAAGAAGCACCGGCUAACUACGUG